rnacentral:rRNA from 1 species
UACGUAGGGUGCGAGCGUUGUCCGGAAUUAUUGGGCGUAAAGAGCUCGUAGGCGGUCUGUCGCGUCGGCUGUGAAAACCCGCGGCUCAACCGCGGGCCUGCAGCCGAUACGGGCAGGCUAGAGUUCGGUAGGGGAGACUGGAAUUCCUGGUGUAGCGGUGAAAUGCGCAGAUAUCAGGAGGAACACCGAUGGCGAAGGCAGGUCUCUGGGCCGAUACUGACGCUGAGGAGCGAAAGCGUGGGGAGCGAACAGG